rnacentral:tRNA from 1 species
GUUGUAGCUCAGUGGUAGAGCACUUGCCUAGCAUGUGUGAGGUACUGGGUUUGAUCCUCAGCAUGACA